GCCUGGGUGGCUCAGUCGGUUGAGUGUCUGACUUUGGCUCAGGUCAUGAUCUCGUGGUCUGUGAGUUCGAGCCCCGCGUCAGGCU
rnacentral:tRNA from 1 species